rnacentral:rRNA from 1 species
GGUUCGAUCAUGGCUCAGAUUGAACGCUGGCGGGAUGCUUUACACAUGCAAGUCGAACGGCAGCACGGACUUCGGUCUGGUGGCGAGUGGCGAACGGGUGAGUAAUGUAUCGGAACGUGCCUAGUAGCGGGGAUAACUACGCGAAAGCGUAGCCAAAUACCGCACAGCCGCCCUUCGGGGGAAAGCGGGGGACCUUCGGGCCUCGCACUAUUAGAGCGGCCGAUAUCGGAUUAGCUAGUUGGUGGGGUAACGGCUCACCAAGGCGACGAUCCGUAGCUGGUUUGAGAGGACGACCAGCCACACUGGGACUGGAGAUUACGCCCAGACUACGGGAGGCAGCAGUGGGGAAUUUUGACAAUGGGGGAAACCUCGAUCCAGCCAUCCCGCGUGUGCGAUGAAGGCCUUCGGGUUGUAAAGCACUUUUGGCAGGAAAGAAACGGCACGGGAUAAUACCCCGUGCAACUGACGGUACCUGCAGAAUAAGCACCGGCUAACUACGCCAGCAGCCGCGGUAAUACGUAGGGUGCAAGCGUUAAUCGGAAUUACUGGGCGUAAAGCGUGCGGCAGUUCGGAAAGAAAGAUGUGAACCCAGAGCUUAACUUUGAACUGCAUUUUUAACUACAGAGCUAGAGUGUCAGAGGGAGGUGGAAUUCGCGUGUAGCAGUGAAAUGCGUAGAUAUGCGGAGGAACACCGAUGGCGAAGGCAGCCUCCUGGGAUAACACUGACGCUCAUGCACGAAAGCGUGGGAGCAAACAGGAUUAGGAUACCCUGGUAGUCCACGCCCUAAACGAUGUCAACUAGCUGUUGGGGCCUUCGGGCCUUGGUAGCGCAGCUAACGUGAAGUUGACCGCCUGGGGAGUACGGUCGCAAGAUUAAAACUCAAAGGAAUUGACGGGGACCCGGCACAAGCGGUGGAUGAUGUGGGGAUUAAUCUGAUGCAACGCGAAAAACCUUACCUACCCUUGACAUGUCUGGAAUCCCGAAGAGGAUUUGGGAGUGCCUGCAAGAGAACCGGAACACAGGUGCUGCAUGGUUGUCGUCAGCUCGUGUCGUGAGAUGUUGGGUUAAGUCCCGCAACGAGCGCAACCCUUGUCAUUAGUUGCUACGAAAGGGCACUCUAAUGAGACUGCCGGUGACAAACCGAGGAAGGUGGAUGACGUCGUCCUCAUGGCCUUUAUGGGUAGGCUUCACACGUCAUACAAUGGUCGGGACAGAGGGCUUCAACCCGCGAGGGGGAGCCAAUCCCAGAAACCCGAUCGUAGUCCGGAUCGCAGUCUGCAACUCGACUGCGUGAAGUCGGAAUCGCUAGUAAUCGCGGAUCAGCAUGUCGCGGUGAAUACGUUCCCGGGUCUUGUACACACCGCCCGUCACACCAUGGGAGUGGGUUUUACCAGAAGUGGUUAGCCCAACCGUAAGGAGUGGGCGAUUACCACGGUAGGAUUCAUGACUGGGGUGAAGUCAACAAGGUAG